rnacentral:rRNA from 1 species
GACGAACGCUGGCGGCGUGCCUAAUACAUGCAAGUCGAACGAACUCUGGUAUUGAUUGGUGCUUGCAUCAUGAUUUACAUUUGAGUAAGUGGCGAACUGGUGAGUAACACGUGGGAAACCUGCCCAGAAGCGGGGGAUAACACCUGGAAACAGAUGCUAAUACCGCAUAACAACUUGGACCGCAUGGUCCGAGCUUGAAAGAUGGCUUCGGCUAUCACUUUUGGAUGGUCCCGCGGCGUAUUAGCUAGAUGGUGGGGUAACGGCUCACCAUGGCAAUGAUACGUAGCCGACCUGAGAGGGUAAUCGGCCACAUUGGGACUGAGACACGGCCCAAACUCCUACGGGAGGCAGCAGUAGGGAAUCUUCCACAAUGGACGAAAGUCUGAUGGAGCAACGCCGCGUGAGUGAAGAAGGGUUUCGGCUCGUAAAACUCUGUUGUUAAAGAAGAACAUAUCUGAGAGUAACUGUUCAGGUAUUGACGGUAUUUAACCAGAAAGCCACGGCUAACUACGUGCCAGCAGCCGCGGUAAUACGUAGGUGGCAAGCGUUGUCCGGAUUUAUUGGGCGUAAAGCGAGCGCAGGCGGUUUUUUAAGUCUGAUGUGAAAGCCUUCGGCUCAACCGAAGAAGUGCAUCGGAAACUGGGAAACUUGAGUGCAGAAGAGGACAGUGGAACUCCAUGUGUAGCGGUGAAAUGCGUAGAUAUAUGGAAGAACACCAGUGGCGAAGGCGGCUGUCUGGUCUGUAACUGACGCUGAGGCUCGAAAGUAUGGGUAGCAAACAGGAUUAGAUACCCUGGUAGUCCAUACCGUAAACGAUGAAUGCUAAGUGUUGGAGGGUUUCCGCCCUUCAGUGCUGCAGCUAACGCAUUAAGCAUUCCGCCUGGGGAGUACGGCCGCAAGGCUGAAACUCAAAGGAAUUGACGGGGGCCCGCACAAGCGGUGGAGCAUGUGGUUUAAUUCGAAGCUACGCGAAGAACCUUACCAGGUCUUGACAUACUAUGCAAAUCUAAGAGAUUAGACGUUCCCUUCGGGGACAUGGAUACAGGUGGUGCAUGGUUGUCGUCAGCUCGUGUCGUGAGAUGUUGGGUUAAGUCCCGCAACGAGCGCAACCCUUAUUAUCAGUUGCCAGCAUUAAGUUGGGCACUCUGGUGAGACUGCCGGUGACAAACCGGAGGAAGGUGGGGAUGACGUCAAAUCAUCAUGCCCCUCAUGACCUGGGCUACACACGUGCUACAAUGGAUGGUACAACGAGUUGCGAACUCGCGAGAGUAAGCUAAUCUCUUAAAGCCAUUCUCAGUUCGGAUUGUAGGCUGCAACUCGCCUACAUGAAGUCGGAAUCGCUAGUAAUCGCGGAUCAGCAUGCCGCGGUGAAUACGUUCCCGGGCCUUGUACACACCGCCCGUCACACCAUGAGAGUUUGUAACACCCAAAGUCGGUGGGGUAACCUUUUAGGAACCAGCCGCCUAAGGUGGGACAGAUGAUUAGGGUG